rnacentral:lncRNA from 1 species
GUCAGUUCUGGGUCCUGGUCUCCUGCCUCUGAACCUGCCGGGAACCUGUGGGCGCCGGCGCCUGUCUCCACUCACGUGACGUGGGACUCAGUGACCCCUGAAGGCUUGGGGUUUACCAGGCUGCUGCACAAAAUUCACUCUCCAGCCCUACUUUGGAGCAAUGAGGAACCCCAGCGUCUUGAUCUGUCGUUUUGGAGCUGCUUCAUGUGGAAGAUGGAUAGGACCAGUUUCAGCAAACCUAGUAUCUGUCCAUUGACAAGAGAUGAUGGAGUUCAAGCAGGUUUGAUGGGGCUUGUCCAAAGAAAUGCAGUCCCAGAGCAGUCUUUUUAG